rnacentral:rRNA from 1 species
GACGAACGCUGGCGGCGUGCUUAACACAUGCAAGUCGAACGGAGCGAAUGAAAGCUUGCUUUUAUGAGCUUAGUGGCAAACGGGUGAGUAACACGUAGACAACCUGCCGAUAGGAUGGGGACAACAUUCCGAAAGGAAUGCUAAUACCGAAUGGCGUGUAGGGGAGGCAUCUCCCCUAUAUGAAAGAUGGCCUCUAUAUAUAAGCUAUCACCUAUCGAUGGGUCUGCGUCUGAUUAGCUAGUAGGUAAGGUAACGGCUUACCUAGGCGACGAUCAGUAGCCGGUCUGAGAGGAUGAACGGCCACAUUGGGACUGAGACACGGCCCAGACUCCUACGGGAGGCAGCAGUGGGGAAUCUUCCGCAAUGGGCGCAAGCCUGACGGAGCAACGCCGCGUGAGUGAAGAAGGUCUUCGGAUCGUAAAGCUCUGUUGAAGGGGACGAACGUACAUAGUGCGAAUA